UCGAGAAUCUUCCGCAAUGGGCGAAAGCCUGACGGAGCGACGCCGCGUGGAGGACGAAGGCCUUCGGGUUGUAAACUCCUGUCACGGAUUAAGAAUGGCUUGGUGUUAACAGCAUCAAGUUUGACGUAAGUCCGAGAGGAAGCACUGGCUAACUCUGUGCCAGCAGCCGCGGUAAUACAGAGAGUGCGAACGUUGUUCGGAAUUACUGGGCUUAAAGCGCACGUAGGCGGCUCCGCAAGUGUCGGGUGAAAUCCCACGGCUUACCCGUGGAACUGCCCGGCAGACUGCGGAGCUAGAGGAUGGUAGGGGAGAGCGGAACUCCUGGUGGAGCGGUGAAAUGCGUAGAUAUCAGGAGGAACACCGGUGGCGAAGGCGGUCUCUCGUGGUC
rnacentral:rRNA from 1 species